GCUGAGCGUGGUGGUGCAUGCCUGUAGUCCCAGCUACUUGGGAGGCUGAGGUGGGAGGAUCGCUUGAGCCCAGGAGGUUAAGGCUGCAGUGAGCCGUGACUGUGCCACUGCACUCCAGCUUGGGCAACAAAGUGAGACCCUGUCUUUU
ensembl:misc_RNA Metazoa_SRP Metazoan signal recognition particle RNA